rnacentral:rRNA from 1 species
AUGAACGCUGGCGGCGUGCCUAAUACAUGCAAGUCGAGCGAACAGACGAGGAGCUUGCUCCUUUGACGUUAGCGGCGGACGGGUGAGUAACACGUGGGUAACCUACCUAUAAGACUGGGAUAACUUCGGGAAACCGGAGCUAAUACCGGAUAAUAUUUCGAACCGCAUGGUUCGAUAGUGAAAGAUGGCUUUGCUAUCACUUAUAGAUGGACCUGCGCCGUAUUAGCUAGUUGGUAAGGUAACGGCUUACCAAGGCAACGAUACGUAGCCGACCUGAGAGGGUGAUCGGCCACACUGGAACUGGGACACGGUCCAGACUCCUACGGGAGGCAGCAGUAGGGAAUCUUCCGCAAUGGGCGAAAGCCUGACGGAGCAACGCCGCGUGAGUGAUGAAGGUCUUCGGAUCGUAAAACUCUGUUAUUAGGGAAGAACAAACGUGUAAGUAACUGUGCACGUCUUGACGGUACCUAAUCAGAAAGCGACGGCUAACUACGU